CUCCUGGCCAGCUGCACCAUUGUCCUCGUGUGGACAAGACAGCUCGGGUGGCAGAUGGCGGUUUGAAGGUUGUGUGAUGAGGAGGAGUGUUGGAGAGCAGGUACAUCACACACCCUGUAGUGGAGAUGUC